rnacentral:rRNA from 1 species
AUUGAACGCUGGCGGCAUGCUUUACACAUGCAAGUCGAACGGUAACAGGCCGCCAGGUGCUGACGAGUGGCGAACGGGUGAGUAAUGCAUCGGAACGUGCCCAGUCGUGGGGGAUAACUACUCGAAAGAGUAGCUAAUACCGCAUACGAUCUAUGGAUGAAAGCGGGGGACCGUAAGGCCUCGCGCGAUUGGAGCGGCCGAUGUCAGAUUAGGUAGUUGGUGGGGUAAAGGCUCACCAGGCCAACGAUCUGUAGCCGGUCUGAGAGGACAACCAGCCACACUGGACUGAGACACGGCCCAGACUCCUACGGGAGGCAGCAGUGGGGAAUUUUGGACAAUGGGCGCAAGCCUGAUCCAGCAAUGCCGCGUGCAGGAAGAAGGCCUUCGGGUUGUAAACUGCUUUUGUACGGAACGAAACGGCUCUGGUUAAUACCCGGGGCUAAUGACGGUACCGGAAGAAUAAGCACCGGCUAACUACGUG